CCCUCCCUAUUACAAAAGUACAUGCUCAUAGUCAUUACAAAUUAGAGUUAAAUUCAUUUAACAUCAUAAAUAUGUAAGCACUUCACAGUUUUACUUUUUUUUCCCUGUUGUUUUGAGUGACCGUUGGCAUUAUGUAUUGUCACUACAGAGAAUGCAGAUGCUACAUGCUUUUAAUCUUUUGAAAAGUUUUGUGUAUAUAUAUAUAUAUAUAUAUAUAUAUAUACAUAUAGCAAACAUAUAGCAAACAUAGACCUAGGCUACUCCUCUUCUCACACAGUAAACUUGUAGCAUUUGGCCUACAACUCCAACUCUAGAGACAUUUGCAUACUAGACAUGUAAAUCGUUUGCAUAAUUAAUAGGUUUAAAUGUCAGUAUCAAAUCAAUGUUAUCAACAUACAUCUAAUAGGCUAUAUACGAUCAGUGCAUUGAUUGAGAAUUUUGCUUCUAGACUGAAUCGUGCACCCAUUGUAUCCUUAAAUAAAACAGUUUAUACAUUAUUUUUGAUUUUGCAUUUUAUUGUGUUAUAAUUAUAUGCAAAUAUAUAGCCUAUCACUGAAGACACUCAAGGCACAGGUAGGAAUCCCGGCAUGACAACAUAAGCUCCUCUAAUAUGACGCACAGUAGACUAACGUUGCGCAGUUUCACCUCUCACGUGAUUAACUUUCGUCUGCCGGAUGUUCACGACGUUCCCCAAAACAAAGACAUACUUCUCUCAUCUAGAUAUCAGCCCCAGUUCCGAGCAUUUGCGCUGCCACGGGAAGAAAAUCGUCCAGGCUUUAGCCGACGGUGCGAGGAACAUAAGCACACUUGCUACUACGUUGGCACCACUAAGCAGGUUCCAUGCCUAUCAACUGCGAAUACAUCCUACAAACUUCAAGCUUUUCAAUCAUUGCAUCAUUGUGACGUU